rnacentral:rRNA from 1 species
UACGAAGGUUGCAAGCGUUAAUCGGAAUUACUGGGCGUAAAGGGCGCGUAGGCGGUUUGUUAAGUCUGUUGUGAAAGCCCCCGGCUCAACUGGGGAGGGUCAUUCGAUACUGAUCGACUCGAAGGCAGGAGAGGGUAGUGGAAUUCCCGGUGUAGUGGUGAAAUGCGUAGAUAUCGGGAGGAACACCAGUGGCGAAGGCGACUACCUGGCCUGUUCUUGACGCUGAGGCGCGAAAGCUAGGGGAGCAAACGGG